GAUGAAGAACGUAGCGAAAUGCGAUAAGUAAUGUGAAUUGCAGAAUUCAGUGAAUCAUCGAAUCUUUGAACGCACAUUGCGCCCGUCAGUAUUCUGGCGGGCAUGCCUGUUCGAGCGUCAUUACGCCCCUCAAGUCCCCUGUGGACUUGGUGUUGGGGAUCGGCGAGGCUGGUUUUCCAGCACAGCCGUCCCUUAAAUUAAUUGGCGGUCUCGCCGUGGCCCUCCUCUGCGCAGUAGUAAAACACUCGCAACAGGAGCCCGGCGCGGUCCACUGCCGUAAAACCCCCCAACUUUUUAUAGUUGACCUCGAAUCGGGUAGGACUACCCGCUGAACUUAAGCAUAUCAAUAAGCGGAGGA
rnacentral:misc_RNA from 1 species